rnacentral:rRNA from 1 species
GUGCCAGCAGCCGCGGUAACACGUACUGUGCGAACGUUAUUCGGAAUCACUGGGCUUAAAGGGUGCGUAGGCGGCGAUUCAAGUCAGAUGUGAAAUGCCUGAGCUUAACUGAGGCACUGCGUUUGAAACUGAAUUGCUUGAGUAUUUCAGGGGUGUGCGGAACUGCCAGUGGAGCGGUGAAAUGUGUUGAUAUUGGCAGGAACACCGGAGGCGAAAGCGGCACACUGGGGAAUAACUGACGCUGAGGCACGAAAGCCAGGGGAGCGAACGGGAUUAGAUACCCCCGUAGUCC